rnacentral:rRNA from 1 species
GAUGAACGCUGGCGGCGUGCCUAAUACAUGCAAGUCGAGCGAGUGGAUUAAGAGCUUGCUCUUAUGAAGUUAGCGGCGGACGGGUGAGUAACACGUGGUAACCUGCCCAUAAGACUGGGAUAACUCCGGGAAACCGGGGCUAAUACCGGAUAACAUUUUGAACCGCAUGGUUCGAAAUUGAAAGGCGGCUUCGGCUGUCACUUAUGGAUGGACCCGCGUCGCAUUAGCUAGUUGGUGAGGUAACGGCUCACCAAGGCAACGAUGCGUAGCCGACCUGAGAGGGGGAUAGGCCACACUGGGACUGAGACACGGCCCAGACUCCUACGGGAGGCAGCAGUAGGGAAUCUUCCGCAAUGGACGAAAGUCUGACGGAGCAACGCCGCGUGAGUGAUGAAGGCUUUCGGGUCGUAAAACUCUGUUGUUAGGGAAGAACAAGUGCUAGUUGAAUAAGCUGACACCUUGACGGUACCUAACCAGAAAGCCACGGCUAACUACGUGCCAGCCGCCGCGGUAA